GAUGCCCUCAAUCUAGCCCACCCUAUAAUCUCCCGUUACUUAUUUCCCUUAAUAAAAUAAACCAUUCUAAACCUCAAGUAAAUGCGAUUGAAAAAGAAUUAGGAGCUACACAAUUAGUACCGCAAGGGAAAGAUGAAAUAGAAAUUAAACAAAUACCCAAGCACAAAAUAGCAAAGAUGAGAACUUGUACCUUUUGCAUCAUGGUCUAACAAGUCCAAUCAGGCAAAAAGAUUUUUAGUCUGACCCCCCGAAACUAAGUGAGCUACUCCGAAGUAACUAAAGUAAACCCGUCUCUGUGGCAAAAGAGUGGGAAAACCUCCGAGUAGAAGUGACAUACCUAUCGAACUUAGUGAUAGCUGGUUACUCAAGAAAAGAAUUUUAGUUCUACCUCAGGGUGUUUUUAGCAAAUUAAUAUGUAAUAAGCAAACCCAAUUUCCCUGGGGCUUAUUCAAUAAGGGUACAGCCUUAUUGAAAAAGGAUACAACCUAAUAUCUUGGCUAACGAUUACUACCACCAUAGACUAAGUAGGCCUAAAAGCAGCCACCUUUUAAAAAGCGUCAAAGCUUACUCUAAUACCCCCCCCCCAAUACCAAUUAUUAUUCGGAAUCCAAUAUCAGUAUUGAGUCUUCCUAUAUUUUUAUAGAAGAGUUAAUGUUAGAACUAGUAACACAGAAUAUUUUCUCCCCAUGUAAGUGUAAAUCAGAUUGAAUAAAUCACUGAUAAUUACUCGGCAAUGAAAACAUUGUAGUAACCUCUCUAGAAAACCCUACCACUUCAUCCGUUAACCUAACACAAGAACAUCAGGGAAAGAUUAAAAGAUAAAGAAGGAACUCGGCAAACUCAAGUCCCGCCUGUUUACCAAAAACAUCGCCUCUUGCAAAUUAUAAGAGGUAAUGCCUGCCCAGUGACCAUGUGUUCAACGGCCGCAGUAUUUUAACCGCGCGAAGGUAGCGUAAUCACUUGUUUUCUAAAUAAAGACUAGUAUGAACGGCCACACGAGGACUUAACUGUCUCCUUUAUCUAAUCAGUGAAACUGAUCCCCCCGUGCAGAAGCGGGGAUGACACCAUAAGACGAGAAGACCCUAUGGAGCUUUAAACCAAACUAACUACCCUUCUUAAACCUCUAAAGAGCCAACACAUUUAGGUAGCAUUAACUUUGGUUUUAGGUUGGGGCGACCAUGAAAAAAAACUUAACCUUCCUGAUGACUUAUAAACUAAGAGUUACAACUCUAAGUAUUAAGACUCUUAACCUUCAUUGACCCACUUUGUGACCAACGAACCAAGUUACCCUAGGGAUAACAGCGCAAUCCAUUUCAAGAGUCCUUAUCGACAAAUGGGUUUACGACCUCGAUGUUGGAUCAGGGCACCCAAG
rnacentral:rRNA from 1 species